rnacentral:lncRNA from 1 species
UGUUUUUUUUUGUAGUGGUGGGUUCAUUGCUAUGUAAAGUUUUGACCUCUUCAAUCCCACUUUUACCAAUUUUUGCAUCAAGAUCUAAAAACUCCGAAUCAUUGGGAUGCCUUUUAGCUAAAGUUGACUCAUCUCCAGUCCCAUCUUUAUCAAGAUUCAUAUUGGAAAACAAAGAUUUAAUAGGAGACACAUCAAUCACUUUCAGAUCUUCAUCCUUAUUAUCAUGAAAACUAGGAGAGCAUGCUUUCACAAAGCAAUCAUUUUUAGCACGCAUCCUAGCGGUUCUUUCUUUGCACUCAUCAAUAGAAAUUAUCAUGGCUUUGAAAGACUCAUUGAUAUCAUGCUUAGGUGGAAUAGAUCUAAGUUUCAAAGAAUCAACUUCAAGAGAAAUUCUAUCCACGUUCCUAGCCAACUCAUCAAUCUUAGGCAAUUUUUCUUCAAGCAAAGCAUGGAAAUUAUUUUGCGAAAUCAUAAGUUCUUUUACACUAGCCUCAAAAUCAGAGAGCAUCUUAUUGAAAUUUCCAUAAGAAUUGUUGUAUGAAUUACCAUAAUUAUUAGAGGAAUUACUAGGGAACGGCCUAGAAUUAAAGUUUCCUCUAUACGCGUUGUUACCAAAAUUGUACCUACCAACAAAAUUCACAUCCAUAGAUUCAUUAUUAUUCUCAAUCAAAGUGGAUAAGGGCAUAUCAUUAGGAUCAGAGGAAACACUCUUAUUAGCAAUCAAUUUCAUAAUUCAUCCAUCUUUCCACUCAAAACAUUAAUCUCUUCAAUUGCAUGAACCUUUUUACUAGUAGAUCUUUCGGUGCGCCAUUGAGAAUAAUUAACCAUAAUAUGAUCUAGGAGUUUAGUAGCUUCUCCUAAAGUGAUUUCCAUAAAAGUGCCUCCCGCGGCCGAAUCUAAAAGAUUUCUAGAAGCAAAAUUCAAUCCGGCAUAAAAAUUUUGUAUAAUCAUCCAUAAAUUCAAACCAUGUGUAGGGCAAUUACGUAUCAUUAGUUUCAUCCUCUCCCAAGCUUGUGCAACAUACUCAUGAUCAAGUUGCUUAAAAUUCAUAAUAUCGUUUCUAAGAGAGAUGAUCUUAGUGGGAGGAAAAUACUUAGAGAUAAAAGCAUCUUUGCACUUAUUCCAUGAAUCAAUACUAUUUUUAGGCAAAGAAGAGAACCAAUUUUAGCACGAUCUCUAAGCAAAAACGGAAAUAACUUCAAUUUAACAAUAUCAUUAUCCACAUCUCUCUUCUUUUGCAUAUCGCACAAAUCAACAAAGUUGUUUAGAUGUGUACCGGCAUCUUCACUAAGAAGGUCAAAGAACUGAUCUUUCAUGACAAGAUUCAGUAAAGCAGCAUUAAUUUCGCAAGAUUCAGCAUCGGUAAUAGGAGCAAUCGGAGUGCUAAGAAAAUCAUUGUUGUUGGUAUUGGAAAAAUCACACAGUUUAGUAAACAAUCCAACAUACAAGCACACAAGAAACAAGCAAAAAGAGACGAACGAAAAAAGGGCGAAUAAAACGGCAAGCGUGAAGUGGGGGAGAGGAAAACAAGAGGCAAAUGGCAAAUGAUGUAAUGCAAGGGAUAAGAGUUUGUGAUGGGUACUUGGUAUGUCUUGACUUGUGCAUGGAUCUUUCCGGCAACGAUGCCAGAAAUCGGCGAGUUGUCGAGAGAUCAAAUCUUGACUUGACUUGGCGUAAGCCUCCCCGGCAACGACGCCAGAAAUCCUUCUUGCUACCUCUUGAGCAUGCGUUGGUUUUCCCUUGAAGAGGAAAGGGUGAUCCAGCAAAGUAGCAUAAGUAUUUCCCUUAGUUUUUGAGAACCAAGGUAUCAAUCCAGUAGGAGGUUACAUGCAAGUCGCCUUGUACCUGCACAAACAAAUAAGAACCUUGCAACCAAUGCGAUAAAGGGGUUGUCAAUCCCUUCACGGCCACUUGCAAAAGUGAGAUCUGGUAGAGAUAAUAAAGAUAAAUAUUUUUGGUAUUUUUGUUGUAUAGAUUGAAAAGUAAAGAUUGCAAAAUAGUAAACGACAUGCAAUGUAAAUAAAAGAGAUACUCCCUCUGUUCCUAGAUAUAGGGUGUAUAGUUUUUGGCACGGAUAUUAAAGAACGCACAUGGAGAGAUAAUUUCACAAGUUUUGGCCGACAUUACACCUAACUAAUUGACAUGAUAAAAUAGAGGAGCUUGCCUAAUAUAAGGAAAUGUAAUCAAACCCCUAAAAAAAUUAUCCAAACGAGUGGUGCAAUGCAAUACACCUUACAUUUCGGUUUUUUUCUCAAAAAUCUAUACACCUUAUAUCAAGGAACGGAGGGAGUAUAAUACAAUGGAAAAGAGACCCGGGGGCCAUAGGUUUCACUAAUGGCUUCUCUCAAGAUAGCAUAUCUUACGGUGGGUGAACAAAUUACUGUUGAGCAAUUGAUAGAAAAGUGCAUAGUUAUGAGAAUAUCUAGGCAUGAUCAUGUAUAUAGGCAUCACGUCCGUGACAAGUAGAUCGAAAUGAUUCUGCAUCUACUACUAUUACUCCACACAUCGACCGCUAUCCAACAUGCAUCUAGAGUAUUAAGUUCAUAAGAACAGAGAAACGCAUUAAGAAAGAUGACAUGAUGUAGAGGGAUAAACUCAAGCAAUAUGAUAUAAACCCCAUCUUUUUAUCCUCGAUGGCAACAAUACAAUACGUGCCUUGCUGUCCCUGCUAUCACUAGGAAAGGACACCGCAAGAUUGAACCCAAAGCUAAGCACUUCUCCCAUUGCAAGAAAGAUCAAUCUAGUAGGCUAAACCAAACUGAUAAUUUGAAGAGACUUGCAAAGAUAUCAAAUCAUACAUAUAAGAAUUCAGAGAAGAAUCAAAUAUUGUUCAUAGAUAAGCUUGAUCAUAAAACCACAAUUCAUCGGAUCUCGACAAACACACCGCAAAAAGUAUUACAUCGAACAGAUCUCUAAGAAGAUCGAGGAGAACUUUGUAUUGAGAAUCAAAGAGAGAGAAGAAGCCAUCUAGCUAAUAACUAUGGACCCGAAGGUCUGUGGUAAACUACUCACACAUCAUCGGAGAGGCUAUGGUGUUGAUGUAGAAGCCCUCCGUGAUCGAUUCCCCUCCGGCGGAGCGCCGGAAAAGGCCCCAAGAUGGGAUCUCACAGGUACAGAAGGUUGCGGCGGUGUAAAUAGGGUUUUGUGGUGCUCCUGGAUGUUUUCAGGGUAUAUGAGUAUAUAUAGGCGAAAGAAGUAGGUCGGUGGAGCCACGAGGGGCCCAUGAGGUUGGGGGCGCGCCUACCCCCCUGGGCGUGCCCUCCUACCUCAUGGCCGCCUUGUGCUUCCUUGAUGUCCACUCCAAGUCUCCUGGAUUGCGUUUGUUCCAAAAACGAUUCUCCCGAAGGUUUCAUUCCGUUUAGACUCCGUUUGAUAUUCCUUUUCUGCAAACACUGAAAUAGGCAAAAAAACAGCAAUUUGCACUGGGCCUCCAGUUAAUAGGUUAGUCCUAAAAAUAAUAUAAAAGUGCAUAGUAAAUCCCAUUAAACAUUCAAAACAGAUAAUAUAAUAGCAUGGAACAAUCAAAAAUUAUAGAUAUGUUGGAGAUGUAUCAAUGGCUUCACCAAGAGCUUCAAGUUUGAUUCCAGGCCUCCACCAAAUGCAAGCUGGCACCAAACUCCCUCACUUGAAGAUUCUGAGUAUUCAUCUUCAGCUGCAAUUGUUGUUGCGAAUGUCGUCGACGAAGAAGAUGAUACCACUUUGUCGACCAUGGCUACACUGCAUCUCGACUCUACACCAGGCCCCUCUGCACCACCAAACUACAACACCGACCCUGGUCCUUCUGGAAACGAGUAGACGCUCUAUGUCUUCAAACCUUUUUGGUCAUUACUGACAAAAGGGGGAGAAUCAUAUGAGUUAAUAGUCUUCAAGCGGGUCCUUAUGGGUGGUUGCAUUAUUUUGCCAAGUUUUACAACUCUCGUCUUUUGAUACAUUUGGUUCUUUGAGUUGUAACACUUAAACUUGAUGGUCGUCUGCUACUUUUUCUGCUAUUCUGUGUUGCGAUGAUAAAUUCCGCAUGAAGUCAUUCUGCAGACGUCCAUUUGUCAUUAUGCAUAUCAUUAUCUUUCUAUAUGCAUAAUGUAUUGUCUUCACACUUUGAAGUUGGCCUCCACAAAGCAAAACCUGCCAUGUGCAUUUGCAUUCAAAAGAAAAUCGUUUAUAUGCACAUCUUCGGGGGGAGCCUCGUCAUAUGUAUGUAGACAAUACUCACAACACUAAACUUUCACAUACUUUUAUCCCCGUUGAAAACUUCAACUAGUUUGUCAUCAAUCACCAAAAAGGGGGAGAUUGUAAGUGCAUCUAGUGCCACCCCUAGUUGGUUUUGGAGUAUUGACGACAAACUUAGUUGAGGGACUAAUGUGUUUGUGAGAAUUGCAGGAUAACACAGGUAGUAGUCCCAUAUUGAUUCGGUUUACCUAUCAGAGAUGACCCCUAAAAAUGUGUGAAGACAUUGAAGACAAUGGUGGUCUGCGAAGAUAUUCACAUUGAAGACUAUGACAAGAGAAGACAUCGCAUGAAGACUAUGCAGUGUGAAGACAUAGUUGUUUCGUAGUUUCUUUUUCUUCUUUGUUGAGUCAUAGGAACCACCAUACUGUUAAGUGGGGUCCAUGUGAACAAAGUUAGAGUGACUGAAGUGAUGCUCAACCAAAUCCUAUGUCUUCGAGCAAAGACAAUGAGUGCAAAUCUUAUCUAGAGCUGGAUGAGUUAGUUUGCUUGUAGCCCAAGCUAUGUUGCCGCGUGUGUUUGAAAUCUGACCGUUGGACACAUGUCAGUUCCUUAGUGACCCAGGGUCAUUUUGGACAAAUCGGGUCGGGUUGCCUCCUGGCUAUAAAUAGCCCACCCCCUACACCAUAAGUUGGUGGUUGCUCAGAUUUAGUGCACGACUUUUUUUGUUUGAGAGCAACCCACCUCCGAAGCAUUUAAGAGAGUAAUCCUUGCGAGGACAAAGCCCAAAACACGCAGAGCCAAAGAGUGUUAGGCAUCACUGAAGUCUUUUCUGUCCGCGUGAUCUAAAGACUUAUUACACUUGAGGACUGUGAAUCCUCCAGCCGGUUAUGCGUCGCGUUCUGAGCAUCCGAGAGUCAUUGUGGAUUGCCAGUGAAUGAAGUCUGUGAAGGUUUGGAAGUCUCCCUUGAAGACUUACCAGAGUGAUUGGGCGAGGAUUAAGUGUUCUUAGAUCAAGGGAAAUAAGGUGAAGACGCGGUCUUCAGAGUUGAAUCUCAGCCUCCCUAACCAGACGUACAGUUGUCACAACAACUGGAACUGGUCCAACAAAUCUUUUGUCCUCUCCGAGCAACUGGUUCUAUCAUUCCUCUCUCUUUACUUACAGUUUGUCUUCGUGAAGUCUUUGCCCUCUUGUCUGAUCUGAUUGACUUCACAGUGUGAAGACUGUGUACUGUUUGGCUUCAUACUAUCUUCCAUCCUGAUCCAUACUACCUAGUUGCUGAUAGUCUUCGUGCUUUCACUACAUUGCUUACUUGACUAUAGCAUGUCUAGUGUAGUCUACCUUCUGCUGCAUAUCAACAGGUUCAUUUCUAUUGUUUGUCUUCAAAGCACUCAUGCUUUGAAGACUUUCAUAAAAAUCACCUAUUCACCCCCCUCUAGUCGAAUACUAGCACUUUCAGUAAGUAUUUGUACAGAACAGAGAUAGAACUAGAUAUACAACAAUUUACACCAUAUGUAACUAAGAAGAUCAACAAUCUCAACAAUUUUAGUGAACAGAACAAAACUAGAGCAUAUGCAACCAUAGAUCCAGUCUAAUGACAAUAUAUUGUAGAGAUUCACACAGACCAGAGAGGCAAACAAUUAAAUAGCGCCUGUGUCGCGGCGAAGAUGACACCACCCUCAUGAUUCCACAAGAUCAUCCCAGCCCAAGCCAUACCAUUUUCCUUCACAAAGCACCAUCGACAUUCAGUUUAGCAUGAUUUAUAAGUUAUAACAAUAUUAAUUAUCAAGAACUUUGUGGAAGUAUCUUCAUAAAAGUUUUAUUGAAAACGUUUGCAAUUCAUACAAGUAGAUAAUAAUAAAUUGUGAAUUGCACAUGCCCCCGCUCAUCUGUUCAUUGUGCUAUGUCAAGACAUUUCUUUUUUGUUGUAUUUGGGCAAAAACAGUUUCUCAAGAAUGAGUGCGCUCAAGUGUUCGAACUUUUACCUGACCUAAUGGCUUUUGUCUCAGGCCUGCUGCUACUACUACUACUUGAGAUGUGGUAAUGAGCUAAUUACAUGUUGAGUCUGUUGCGGGUACAGUUUCAUGCACAAACUUGCAGAAUGACUCAAACAGACCACUGAACUGGCUGUGCAUUGUUGGUUGCCGGGGGAUCUCUGUCGUGUUGCCGCCCUUGAUGCAUUGAUUUGGUCACUGUCUCCCCUGUCUCCGCCUAGGGUUUUGAUCCUUGUGAAAGUGAGAUUAAAUGUCUGGCUUUUGGGGGCGUGCGUAUGGUUCACAAUCUGUUAUGAUCUUUGUGCUAUAUUCAUAUGUACAGCUCUAGUUUGUUUUGAUUUGCCUGUCUGCCCAUGAUGCGAAUUAAAUUCAAAAAAAAAUGUUUUUGUUUUGGUGCAGAUUGAAUGCUCCCUCUUGAUUCUAGUUGAAGAUCCGCAUCACUAGUAAUGAGUGCGAGAAACACAGAACAUCUGUUGGCUGUUAUAAAGGUUCAGAAAAUAACAAAUUCAGACUUGUUUCAGGGUUUGAGAUUUGGAACAGAGUUUCAGAGUUUGUUGUAUGGUUAGUCAGCUGGUACAUGCAUGCAUGCUAUAAAGAUUAAUGAAAGAAAUAUAGUGUUUGUUCAGCUUGUACAAAGUUUCAGAGUUUGCUGCUAUGCUAUAAAGAAAGAUAUGUAGUGUUUGUUCAGCUUGUACAAAUUUCAUGCUGAUGUGUUCAUGGUACAGAUUACAUUUUGUUUAAUAGAGUAAUAUGGUAUUGGUACAAAUUUGUUGUCCUUUAUAAGUUUAUUAUGCACAAAGUGUUUGUAACAAUAUUGUGUUAGAGACAGGAGGUAGUACAUAUGGUUUGUUUAUUUCAAAUUAUAUAUUUUUGUUACCAUGCAUGCAUCAAUUCAAAUGUCAGUCACACAAGCUGGCUCUGGCUGCCAGAAAUGUCACCCAGGAUUUGUUACUAGUUGAUGCAAGGGAGGGACUCCAUUCCAGUCCGAGAGACAAGAUCAACUACUAGUGCUACAUCUAUCCAUGGCCUUAAUUUUGAAGCAAUCCCUGAUCUCAAUGCCCACUACUGCACAUUGUAAAUAUCAAAUGUACUAUUAUAAUUAUAAUUUGAAAAAAAAUGCAUUCAGUGUUUGCUUAUAAAAAGUAUGCUAAAUCUAUUAUAUAUAACUUGUUUGCAUUUUUCUGUGGAGCAAAGCUGCAAAAAAAGAUGACCUCAACAGGAAACAAGAGCAAUCAAGUUCAAACACACCAAGAAACAAGCCAAAAAUAAAGCAUUUGCAUCCCAAACCACAGAGGAAUCAUUCGUUCAAAACGAGCAACCAUAGCAUUCCACCAACCAAUUCCAAUUCCGAAUCACGGCAACAACUCAUCAUCACUAACAGCUCAACGGUUUCUCCCUUAACUUGCCUUGCCUUGCCUUCCCUUCCCUUCCAAAAGGAUAAGGAUGAGGCUAGGUAAGGAAAGGUAGGGUAGGGAACACGCACGACAACAUAAGGAUAUAGUAGAUAGCCUAACACAGGACAGGAGCAUAACGAUAAUCUCAUAGGAGGCAGCCAGCCAGCAUCCUCCUCUUUUAAUCUACUUGGCCUCAUGCUUGGCCUUGGAGUGCGAAGCUAGAGCGCCCUCACUGUU